UACGUAGGGUGCGAGCGUUGUCCGGAAUUAUUGGGCGUAAAGGGCUCGUAGGCGGUUUGUUGCGUCGGCUGUGAAAUCCCGAGGCUCAACCUCGGGUCUGCAGUCGAUACGAGCAAACUAGAGUGUUGCAGGGGAGACUGGAAUUCCUGGUGUAGCGGUGAAAUGCGCAGAUAUUAGGAGGAACACCGGUGGCGAAGGCGCUGCUCUGGGCCGAAACUGACGCUGAGGAGCGAAAGCGUGGGUAGCAAACAGG
rnacentral:rRNA from 1 species